rnacentral:rRNA from 1 species
AAUGAACGCUGGCGGCAGGCCUAAUACAUGCAAGUCGACCGAGUGGGGGACGGGAGAGAAAUGUCGGGGACACUGCCUGAUGGAUGGGGUUAAUUACUGGAAACGGUAGUUAAUACCGCAUAGCUUUGGAUGUGCCCUGAUGGGACUAGCCAGUAGGUGAGGUAAAGGCUCACCUAUGCGAAGAUCACUAGCUGGUCUGAGAGGAUGACCAGCCACACUGGAACUGAGACACGGUCCAGACUCCUACGGGAGUCAGCAGUGGGGAAUAUUGCACAAUGGGCGCAAGCCUGAUGCAGCCAUGCCGCGUGUAUGAAGAAGGCCUUCGGGUUGUAAAGUACUUUCAGCGGGGAGGCGUUACCCGCAGAAGAAGCACCGGCUAACUCCGUGCCAGCCGCCGCGGUAAUUC